rnacentral:rRNA from 1 species
AUGUUCAUCUUGUCGGCCCCUUCACGUUUAUUUCGUCUGGAUUUGUUGAUUUCUCUCCUUUCGGGUGGCAUGCCUAAAUCUUCCCUUCUUUCAUACUGGCUCGUGCCAGGUCCUAAUGGCAGCCAACAGAAAAUUUGGAGCUUGAAUUUCGUGAAAUCAAAUUCAAGUGCAACUACUUGCAUCCAUGAUUUCAAGAAAGAUUGUGUAAAAAGUCAUAUGUGUUCGCCAUUUUCUCAAAUGAUCCUAAUAGAUCUAUAUUGGUUUCUUCUUUUAGCACAUUGCGUUUGCUUUGGCUCCUAG